GAUGAACGCUGGCGGCGUGCCUAAUACAUGCAAGUCGAACGCAGUGGGGACGGGUGAGUAACACGUGGGUAACCUUCCAACAGAGGGGAUAACACUUGGAAACAGGUGCUAAACCGAUACUGAUGGAUGGAUCCGCGGUGUAUUAGCUAGUUGGUGAGGUAACGGCUCACCAAGGCAACGAUGACUAGCCGACCUGAGAGGGGGAUCGGCCACACUGGAACUGAGACACGGCCCAGACUCCUACGGGAGGCAGCAGUAGGGAAUCUUCGGCAAUGGACGAAAGUCUGACCGAGCAACGCCGCGUGAGUGAAGAAGGUUUUCGGAUCGUAAAACUCUGUUAUUAGAGAAGCGGUAUCUAACCAGAAAGCCACGGCUAACUACGUGCCAGCCGCCGCGGUAAUAC
rnacentral:rRNA from 1 species